rnacentral:lncRNA from 1 species
CCGGGUGCUCCGCCUUCCGCUUCUUGCCACCCCCAUGCCCUUGUCAGACCUGCCAUCGCCACCGCUACCUACCUAACGUCGGCCACUCCCGCCACCGCUGCCAGUGUCUACACCUUCCACCAUCCUUGAAUUUUCCAACUCGUGCUUCGCCCGCUGCCACCGUGCCUUUGGGGAAAUUAGUCGGGGAGUGUCGAGGCGAGAGAGAGAGAG